rnacentral:rRNA from 1 species
GAUGAACGCUGGCGGCGUGCCUAAUACAUGCAAGUCGAGCGAACGGACGAGAAGCUUGCUUUUCUGAUGUUAGCGGCGGACGGGUAAGUAACACGUGGAUAACCUACCUAUAAGACUGGGAUAACUUCGGGAAACCGGAGCUAAUACCGGAUAAUAUUUUGAACCGCAUGGUUCAAAAGUGAAAGACGGUCUUGCUGUCACUUAUAGAUGGAUCCGCGCUGCAUUAGCUAGUUGGUAAGGUAACGGCUUACCAAGGCAACGAUGCAUAGCCGACCUGAGAGGGUGAUCGGCCACACUGGAACUGAGACACGGUCCAGACUCCUACGGGAGGCAGCAGUAGGGACUCUUCCGCAAUGGGCGAAAGCCUGACGGAGCAACGCCGCGUGAGUGAUGAAGGUCUUCGGAUCGUAAAACUCUGUUAUUAGGGAAGAACAUAUGUGUAAGUAACUGUGCACAUCUUGACGGUACCUAAUCAGAAAGCCACGGCUAACUACGUG